rnacentral:rRNA from 1 species
GACGAACGCUGGCGGCGUGCUUAACACAUGCAAGUCGAACGAAGUGGCGAACGGGGGAGUAAUACGUGAGUAACCUGCCCUCCUUUUUGGGAUAAGACUUGGAAACGGGGUCUAAUACCGAAAUAAGGGGGAUGGCCUCGCGGCCUAUCAGCUUGUUGGGGGGGUGAUGGCGUACGCAGGCGGUUACGGGGAGCGGGCCUGAGAGGUUGACCGGCCACAGUGGGACUGCUCUACGUCCCAGACGCCGACGGGCGGGAGCAUUGGGGGAUAUUGCACAAUGGGCGAACGCCUGAUGCAGCGUCGCCGCGGGGGGGAUUAAGGCUUUCGGGUUGUAAACCUCUGUCUCUAUCGAACGGGUAGGUGGAGAAGAAGCGCCGGCUAACUACGUGCCAGCAGCCGCGGUAAUAC